CAUUUUGCAUAUUUGUGGUCGCUAUGAUCCGAUGAUUUCAUGGUAAUAAUUAGAAGGUGCAUGUGCUAUACCUAUAAAAUGAGUAACGGAAUCGCUUUUUUACACGAUUUAAGAUUAGAAGAUUCAUGUGUUAUACAUGUUAAACUUUGAAUGCAAAUUUUGAGAUUAUUUCUUUUUGAAACUCCAAUUCAAAGGCCACUGAGUCCUUAACAUGGCACCAAAGUUGAUACACAUCUCUUAUUUGCUUUGUUAAUGGAAGAACUGUGUUGGGGUAGAGUUGCUUGUAUGGUAUGAAACUGUGCUCCAAGGUUUUCUUGUAGCUUUUACCCAUCUGGGUUUCAUUCAUUCUGGUUGAAAAAUCUUUGAAGAAUGGAGUAAUAUCAGUAUGCAUAUUUGGUGAAGUUCUCGGUUGUAUCGGUUCAUUGCCUGAAUACUAGUAGUGGUUAAGGUAUGGAGAGCUCUUCUUGGUGCCCAGGGAAUUCUGAAUUGGAAUGAAUGGAAUCAACUGUUGAUCCCAUUCAGGAGUAUCAUUCCAAGUGUGGAAGAAGAAGCGGGCGAGUCGGUUUUUCAGGUGGUUUUGAGCUCCAAUGUCUGGGAUUAUGCUUCUCAUUUGAAUGACAGUGGUAUAUAUGCUAGCUCCACUGCGAUCUAUGUGCUCUGUCUCAGUAUCUUUGUGAUUUUUCGGUCUCAAGUUUCAACUUAACGUGCGAUGGAACACAAGCAUUGGUAACUAAGAAGGUAUGUUUCUUGUUUUCAACUUCAGGAUAUACUAUUUCAUGAAAUUAGAAAAACAAAGAGGAGACAGAGACAGACAGAUUCUUUCACUUCAUAUGCUUUCACACUUUUGUAAUUGAUAUGAUAGUAGCUUUAUGAGAUUA